rnacentral:rRNA from 1 species
CCUACGGGAGGCAGCAGUGGGGAAUAUUGGGCAAUGGACGCAAGUCUGACCCAGCAACGCCGCGUGAAGGAAGAAGGCUUUCGGGUUGUAAACUUCUUUUAAGGGGGAAGAGACGAAGAUGGUAUCCCUUGAAUAAGCUACGGCUAACUACGUGCCAGCAGCCGCGGGAGUACGUAGGUGGCAAGCGUUGUCCGGAUUUACUGGGUGUAACGGGUGUGCAGCCGGAGAGGCAAGUCAGAUGUGAAAUCCGCGGGCUCAACUCGCGAACUGCAUUUGGAACUGCUUCCCUUGAGUAUCGGGGAGGUAAGCGGAAUUCGUAGUGUAGCGGUGAAAUGCUUAGAUAUGAGGAAGAACACCGAUGGCGAAGGCGGAUUACUGGACGGCAACUGACGCUGAUGCGCGAAAGCGCGGGUAGCGAACAGGAUUAGAUACCCUAGUAGUC